AUUGAACGCUGGCGGCAGGCCUAACACAUGCAAGUCGAGCGAGCGGCGGACGGGUGAGUAAUGUAUGGGGACUGCCCGAUAGAGGGGGAUAACUACUGGAAACGGUAGCUAAUACCGCAUACUAUCGGAUAACCCAUAUGGGUUUGGCUAUUAGGUGUGGUAAUGGCUCACCUAGGCGACGAUCCCUCUCUGGUCUGAGAGGCUGAUCAGCCACACUGGGACUGAGACACGGACCAGACGCCUACGGAGGCAGCAGUGGGGAAUAGUGCACAAUGGGCGAAAGCCUGAUGCAGCCAUGCCGCGUGGAUGAAGAAGGCCCUAGGGUUGUAAAGUACUUUCAGUCGGGAGGCGGGAAGGAAAGAAGAAGCACCGGCUAACUCCGUGCCAGCCGCCGCGGUAAGUG
rnacentral:rRNA from 1 species